rnacentral:pre_miRNA from 1 species
AGUCAAAUAGCUGGAUCAUAUAGUCACCACUGUUCAAAUUUUUGAAGAAGUGCCCAACUGUUCUCCAAAGUGGUUAUGCCAUGUUAUAUUUCCACCAACAAU